GGCCUGGUAGCGGAUGGUCCGCGCCCGCUUUCAAUGUUUGAUUGGACUGCAUGCAGGCAGGAUCCGCUCGUUCGAAUCGAGCCCGGGCCA